rnacentral:rRNA from 1 species
CACGUAGGGUGCGAGCGUUGUCCGGAAUUAUUGGGCGUAAAGAGCUCGUAGGCGGUGUGUCGCGUCGGCCGUGAAAACCUGCAGCUUAACUGUGGGCUUGCGGUCGAUACGGGCAUCACUGGAGUUCGGCAGGGGAGACUGGAAUUCCUGGUGUAGCGGUGAAAAUGCGCAGAUAUCAGGAGGAACACCGGUGGCGAAGGCGGGUCUUUGGGCUGACACUGACGCUCAUGCACGAAAGCGUGGGGGAGCAAACAGG